rnacentral:rRNA from 1 species
AUUGAACGCUGGCGGCAGGCUUAACACAUGCAAGUCGAGCGGGCGAGGUUGCUUCGGUAACUGAGCUAGCGGCGGACGGGUGAGUAAUGCUUAGGAAUCUGCCUAUUAGUGGGGGACAACAUUCCGAAAGGGAUGCUAAUACCGCAUACGUCCUACGGGAGAAAGCAGGGGCUCUUUAUGACCUUGCGCUAAUAGAUGAGCCUAAGUCGGAUUAGCUAGUUGGUGGGGUAAAGGCCUACCAAGGCGACGAUCUGUAGCGGGUCUGAGAGGAUGAUCCGCCACACUGGGACUGCGACACGGCCCAGACUCCUACGGGAGGCAGCAGUGGGGAAUAUUGGACAAUGGGGGGAACCCUGAUCCAGCCAUGCCGCGUGUGUGAAGAAGGCCUUUUGGUUGUAAAGCACUUUAAGUGGGGAGGAGGCUACUUUAGUUAAUACCUAGAGAUAGUGGACGUUACUCGCAGAAUAAGCACCGGCUAACUCUGUGCCAGCCGCCGCCGUAACAC